UAAAUUCUAUGUAUUAAAUAUUUUUUUCUUAGAUAUAUAUUACUUUUUUUUUUCACUUUUAUCUCUCUCACUUCUCUACAGAGAGAAAAAAAAAUCUCUUUUUUUUUUUUUUUUAGAACUUUUCCUUACCGAGGCAGUAGACGCCUCCUCCCCUAGCCUUAGAUGUGAGUUCCCUUCUCUGACUUCAGGGUUGAUUGUAUAUACGAGAUUUGUUUUGUGUUUUUAUUGCUGCAAGCAGUUCCUUGUGGAGAAGGGUUUCGUUUUAGGUCCUGCAUGUUUUCGUCCUCAGCUUCUUGAAGUUAUAGGGAUUUGUUUUUGUGAUGGGUUUAGGCUCUUUGCAUGUAGGGUAUAGCUUUUUCUAUAUUGUAGUUGUUGUUUGGUGGAGAUGAGGUAUUCUCCGGGAAAUUAACGGAAAUAAUUCUUGAUCUCCCGGUUCCUCAAAGCCUACAAGAGAGUGAGACGGCCGGAGCUUUGCCUCCUCCCUUGCUUUUCGGACGACCAUGGUCCUUGAAUGCAGCUUGAUGGCAUAAUGGAGCUCAUCUGUACUGGAUCUACGAUUCAAGCUCUCACCUAGAGCUAGGUCGAUCAGCCUCUGUGCCUCUUUUUCAAUGGCCUACUGUGUGGAAUAGUUUUUUGCUUAACCCAUUUUUCUAGCCUUUUGGUUGAUGGUAUCCCUCUAGCUUUGGAGUCCAUCGGUGCUUCACUGUGUUUGAGCUCGUCGGUUCAUUGGCACAUCUUAGGCUUCUUCCCUGUGUGUGGUUUGGGGUCGUGGAAUUGGGUUGGCUGUUUCAAGUUAAUCUGCAUAUUAGGAUUUGGUGUAUAGUGGGUCUUCUCUUCUGUGUUGGGCUGGUUAGGUUUUGGGCUUGGGCUUCUUCCUUUGUGAGCCAUGUUGUUUUGGGCGUAUUCUUGCACUGUACUUUUAGCCUUUUUUUCAUGAAUAAAUUUUAUCUUCUGAUUAAAACA
rnacentral:lncRNA from 1 species